UUGUAUUCAGUUUUAGUAUUUUGGCUAGAAUUUGAAAUUCCCAAGUUACGUUACAUUUCAGCUUAAUCUACCAGUGAAGACACAUUGGUCCAUUCAGAGCUUCCUCUACCUCUAAAGAGACACGGUUAAUACAGAGCUUACUCUACCAGUGAAGACACAUUGGUCCAUUCAGAGCUUCCUCUACCUCUGAAGACACGGUUAAUACAGAGCUUACUCUACCAGUGAAGACACAUUGGUUCGUUCAGAGCUUCCUCUACCUCUGAAGACCUGUUGAUAGAGCUUUCUCUACCCAUGAAGACAUGCCAUUUACUACUGAGCUUCCUCUACCUUAGAAGACACAUUAGUUACAUAGACUGAAAAGAGACAUGUGUUCAUCAAGUUCAGCAUUUUUUACAUCUAUUUUUGCUGUUGAUCCAAAAGAAGCCAAAAAAAACCAAAACAGUUUGAGGCAGUUUCCAAUUUUGCAACAAACUAGGAACAAAUUCCUUCUUGAUCCCAGAAUGGCUGUCAGAUAUCUCCUUGGAUAAAGAAGCUGGUUAAAACAUAGUUUCCUCUACCUGUAAAGAAAUGUUUGUUAAUACAGAGCUUCCUCUACCUGUGAAGAAACGUUGGUUAAUACAGAGCUUCCUCUAACUGUGAAGA